GAGGGGGAAGUGCGGAAACCCUAGUGGUAGUGGAGUUGGGUGAGAAUGGGAAUAGCAGGUAAGGUUGGGGAUUAUGCUUUCAAGGCAUUCACCGCCACUCUUGGAGUCGCCACUAUUUACCUCACUGCAACCUUCUCUGUCAACGUUUACAGAGGCCUCUCUUGGCACAAUGCUCAAACCAAACUUGACAAACAAGAUGCUGAUGAGCAAGCACCGUGACUUGAUCUCAUAAGCCCACCAUCUUAAAUUUCAAAUCAUGUUGUGUAGAAAUAUAAUUUAAAGUUGUAUAAUUCCAUGUAAUGAGCCGUUUCUCGGAUUGACUUCAAAUCACCGUUUAUCUAUUCCGGUUGUAACAGCUUUUCGUGGCAGCAUUUAAAUUUCAAAUAUUUUUUUAUGCAUUUUGUUAAACAUACGCGUUGUAUGAAUCUGUUAUGACUUAUAUGGGUCCAUUUGUUCAAGUUUUUUUUAUUUAUUAAAAAGUCACUUCUUUUU